rnacentral:tRNA from 1 species
ACCUGGCCAGCUCAGACUGUAGAGCACGUGACUCUUGAUCCCUAGGUUGUGAGUUCAAGCCCCACGUUGGGUA